GACGAACGCUGGCGGCAUGCCUAACACAUGCAAGUCGAGCGAGUUGAUUCCUUCGGGAUGAAGCUAGCGGCGGACGGGUGAGUAACACGUGGGCAACCUGCCUCAUAGAGGGGAAUAGCCUCCCGAAAGGGAGAUUAAUACCGCAUAAGAUUGUAGCUUCGCAUGAAGUAGCAAUUAAAGGAGCAAUCCGCUAUGAGAUGGGCCCGCGGCGCAUUAGCUAGUUGGUGAGGUAACGGCUCACCAAGGCGACGAUGCGUAGCCGACCUGAGAGGGUGAUCGGCCACAUUGGGACUGAGACACGGCCCAGACUCCUACGGGAGGCAGCAGUGGGGAAUAUUGCACAAUGGGGGAAACCCUGAUGCAGCAAUGCCGCGUGAGUGAUGACGGCCUUCGGGUUGUAAAGCUCUGUCUUCGGGGACGAUAAUGACGGUACCCGAGGAGGAAGCCACGGCUAACUACGUGCCAGCCGCCGCGGUAAGAC
rnacentral:rRNA from 1 species